rnacentral:sRNA from 1 species
AAACCUUCAUCGUCACUUGCAAAUGAUUGCAUAGCAGCCAUAGCUGAGGGACUA